AUGAACCUCCCAGCCUGCUGUAAAGAGAGAUCGCUUCUGCUCCCCUCCACCCCGGCUUCCUCCGUGGGAUGUAGCACUUGGCAUAUCUGGAGAAGAGAUUGGAGCAGUGGACCUGCAUUUUGUCCCGUCACUUUUUUUUUACCAAACCCACUUCUGCCAAACAACAAAGAACUUUGUUUUGUGGACUCUCUUGUAUUUCAAAGAUCCAGUUCUCAGUAUCACGUGAAACGUUUUAAUAAGGACUAUUAUUAUUAUUAUUAUUUUUUUAAAUCUAAAAUGAGUGUGAGUAUGCGAGAGCGAGUGUUUUUGGGGUGUUGCCAUAUUUUAGAUUCCAUGAUACACUGGCUAUGUUCACCUCAGAGGGGCAGGCGGGUUAAGGGUCCUACUGCCCCCCCGAAGGUAUGCAUACAAUGUUGAGCAAUACACUGUUUUUAUUAGUCAGUAUGUCACUAAGUUUUUUCUUUAUUAUUAUAUAUUCCCACAUGUAUACAUUUGAGGACCAUCUGCCCUGGUGCAGCUUUUCUCACCAGGUUCCAAAGAUGAAUGGUCGUGUCUGCCUGUAACAUGUUGAAUGAGGGAUUAACUUUUUAAAGAAAAGUCCACCAGCAGUCCAGAAAUGUGCGUAAUUCCUUUCUGGAAGAAAGCAAAUGGUUAAUUCAGAAUAUACUGCCAUGGAGCUGAAUGCCAAAUUUCAUUGACAUGUACGCUAUCUCCUGACCUAAUAAUACCACAGUUAACCUUUUUUUUUAAUUUUUAUAAUUAUUAUUAUUAGCUGGUGCUCUAGUAGCUUUAGAAUUCUAGAGUUCUGUUCCUAAACUACGAUGUUCGUGCACCAGCUUGAUGUGUAAUAUUGUGGGAUAAUAUUUAGUAAAGAAGCACCAGGAUUCUUUCAGACUGUUUCAUGGAAAGGAAUUGCACAUUAAAUUGUGGAAUGGUGUUUGAUUGUUCAUUUAAUUCCAAAGUAUUACCAAAGGCUUUUUUGGGUUUUAUUUAGUGUUAUUUAAUUCCAUUUUUAAACUUAAUUGAACAGGAUUGAACACUGGAUUGUUUGUGUGUGCGUGCGCUCUUUUUGUAUUCUGUUGUAUUUUGUGCGGUCUUUCAUAUUGUACUGCACCAGACCAUAGCACGAAACGAAAUGCAUCAAGUGUAGUUGUACUUAUUCACAGUGCACAGAGAAUUUCUUUACCGACACGGCGCCUUCAUUAUUAAUUUGUCACAAAAAUAGCAUUAUUGUGUAGCACUCAAAAAAUAAAUAAAAAUCCCUCAUAUUGCA
rnacentral:lncRNA from 1 species